UACGGAGGGGGCAAGCGUUAUCCGGAUUUACUGGGUUUAAAGGGUGCGUAGGUGGGUAAGUAAGUCAGUGGUGAAAUCUUCGAGCUUAACUCGGAAACUGCCAUUGAUACUAUUUAUCUUGAAUACUUUGGAGGUAAGCGGAAUAUGUCAUGUAGCGGUGAAAUGCUUAGAUAUGACAUAGAACACCAAUUGCGAAGGCAGCUUACUACACAGUUAUUGACACUGAGGCACGAAAGCGUGGGGAUCAAACAGG
rnacentral:rRNA from 1 species